GUGUUCGGAAGUUAGUAAUAUAUUAACGAAGCAAAUUGGUCGGGUCAAAACCCUAGGAGGUAUCGGAUUCGCAUCAUUGGUCGCGAAUGCAGAGCAGACUCUGCUGUCGCUUAUCUGGAAGCUCUCUCCGAAUCUGAUUCAACUACCUUGAAAUUCGAGUUGCGAGAAUGGCUGGUCAGAGAAGUAACUAUGGUAAACGAUCCCACUCCCAGUCUGACUACUCUGAAAGUGGGGGUGGGGGAAACAAAAGAAGAAAUUCUGGAGGUGAUAAAGAGUCAUUCUCGAUUGGGCCCGAUGAUACUGUUUACCGUUAUCUCUGCCCUGGAAAGAAAAUUGGAAGCAUCAUUGGGAGAGGAGGGGAGAUUGUCAAACAGCUAAGAUCUGAUACAAGAUCAAGGAUAAGAAUUGGUGAAUCUGUGCCAGGAUGUGAAGAACGUGUUGUCACUAUUUACAGUAACAGUGAAGAAACCAAUGAUCUUGACGAUGUGGACGACCGUGUCUGUCCUGCUCAAGAUGCCCUUUUCAAGAUUCAUGAUAGAAUUGUUGCUGAUGAUACUGCACUAGAGGAGGACUCCGAAGACAUCCCACAAGUUACUGUUCGUCUGCUCGUGCCUUCAGAUCAGAUUGGGUGUAUCAUUGGAAAGGGUGGACAGAUUGUUCAGAAUAUUCGUAGUGAAUCUGGGGCUCAAAUUCGCAUAGUAAAGGAUGACCACCUUCCAACCUGUGCAUUGAGUUCAGACGAACUUGUACAGAUAUCUGGUAAUUCUUCUCUAGUGAAGAAGGCUCUUUAUCAGAUUUCUUCUCGACUUCAUGAUAAUCCCUCUCGUUCUCAACACCUAAUCACUUCAUCCGCACCUAAUGUCUACCCUUCUGGUAGUUCACUCCUUGGUUCAACUGCUGGAGCACCAAUCAUGGGAUUAACUCCACUUGUAGGGCCCUAUGGGGCAUAUAAGGGUGAGGCUGCAGAUUGGCCGCGGUCUAUUUACUCUGCUCCGAGAAAUGAUGCAUCUUCAAAGGAAUUCUCACUGCGUUUGGUUUGCCCAACUGCUAAUAUUGGAGGUGUCAUUGGGAAGGGCGGCAUGAUAAUCAACCAAAUAAGGCAAGAAUCUGGAGCUGUUAUUAAAGUUGAUAGUUCAGCUGCCGAGGGAGAUGAUUGUGUGAUUUCUAUCUCUGCAAAAGAGAUCUUUGAAGAUACCUUUUCUCCGGCAGUCGAUGCAGCUCUGCGCUUGCAGCCUAGGUGUAGUGAGAAAGUUGAAAGAGAUUCUGGUCUUGUUUCAUUUACCACCAGGUUACUUGUUCCUACUUCUCGAAUUGGCUGCCUUAUUGGCAAAGGAGGUUCCAUCAUUUCGGAGAUGAGAAAGGUCACCAAGGCCAAUAUCCGUAUAUUAUCAAAAGAAAAUCUGCCUAAGGUUGCCUCUGAUGAUGAUGAGAUGGUGCAGAUCUCAGGAGACCUUGAUGUUGCCAAGGAUGCUCUUAUUCAAGUAACUUCCCGACUGAGGGCUAAUCUUUUUGAAAAGGAGGGUGCAAUGCCUGCAUUCCUACCUGUUCUUCCAUAUCUUCCGAUGUCAAGUGAUAAUUCGGAGAGCCUGAAAUAUGAAAGUAGAGAUUCAAAGAACCGUGGGCGUGGUGGGUAUUCAUAUUCUGGUGGAUAUGGUGGUUCUUCCGAUUUGCCUCCUUUAGAUGCCUAUGGUAGUUAUGGUAAUGUUCAGAGUGGCAGUGGUAGUUCUGCAUAUGGUGCUUACGGAAGCCAUUCAUCUGGGCGCUCUUCUGGUUCUGGGUUAUCUGGACGUAAUCCUCCUUCACGUGGAAGAAAUUAUGACUACUAGCGGCGUUUAUUAAUUACAGUAUGAUUCUCAAGAUGUUAAUCCCAGAAGUGGUAAAGUGUGCUGUUGGCUGAGCAUCCUGCUUAUAAAAUGCAGAUUUUGGGCAGAUCAGGAUCAGGAGUAAAAUAUCUAUGGUGUGGAUGACGGGCAACGGUAGUUCAAAACUGUGUAUUGGGUAUGUUGGUAGGCUUUUCCAUGCAGUAUAUGUUUUUAUAUAUGCGGUUUCAGUUAAUCUGGUUCCUGAAUAGUAAUAUCUACGGAAUGAUUUUGUUGAACAGAUUGUGGCUGGAUGUGAUGGCAAUAGGUAAUUGUGUAGAUUUAUAUCACUUGUCUUUCACAAUUUUUUAUUUUAGCAAUUUACUAACCCUGUCUGCUCUAGCUUUUAUGCAUGCAAAUCCAUAGUAUUCAUGGUGUAAGUGUGCCAUUCUUUCUGGGUGUGCUGACCAGUUGAUGUUUCAUGCUUCUAAAUUAUAUGCAUGCAUCAUUUUGUUGAAAUAGGAGUUAAGAAUCUGGGUUCUACCUUGAUGUUCAGAGCUAGUGUAUUACAUAGAUGAAUUCUGAAGGAAUAGUGCUUAAACCGAACUUAGUAUCUCUGUUCACUGAAGAUGAGUUUGCUUAUUCUGUGAUGUACAAGUCUUUUUGAAAUUAUUUGGCAUGUUAAAGCUCCUCAAGGCACAAAAUUUUUAUAAAUGACCGUCGGUCUGCUGCACUGGAUUUUUAGCUCAUAGACUUGAUUAGCUUAGGAUCAGAUUUUUCUUUCUAUUGUUCUAGCAGUCUGAUUAGGAUCUAAUCCUCCUUGAGCAUGAUUGCUAUGGUGAUUAAAUAAGAUUAUUUUUGUAAUUUACACCAUAAAAAUAAUUUAAUCAGAUAUUGUAAACAUACUCUUUGCUUACUAUAUAGUCUGUAAGUGAUUUCUUGCAUGCAUGUUAUAUAUACUAUGCUCAUAUGCUUGCUGUUUAUUUGAUAUGUUACUGGUUCAUAAUUUUAGUUUUUACUAAAUGUAAGUGGACAUGUAGUGUGUCCUUUUGGUUUUGUAUCUAGUUAUAUUGACAGGAAAUAUAAGACGAGUUGGUCUAUAAAACGAGAUGCUACAUCGGUUGGAGUACAGUACACAUCCGAGGACAUGCUCUUUCCGAUGACAUGAUGUGUGCUGGGAUUAUUUUUGUCUUCAUUUUUUUCUUAUGCUGGUAUAUGUGCACAGAAGUUACAUCUGAUUAUCAGACAUUAGAUUUGCUCAUGUAUAAAAUAGGGAUCAACUGUGUGUAAAUAUAUGUGUUUAUAUAUAUUAUUCAUGUACAGUAUUAUUGUCUUUGGA